rnacentral:rRNA from 1 species
AUUGAACGCUGGCGGCAGGCCUAACACAUGCAAGUCGAGCGGAUGAAGCGCGCUUGCUUCUGGAUUCAGCGGCGGACGGGUGAGUAAUGCCUAGGAAUCUGCCUGGUCUCGGGGGAUUACGUCCGGAAACGGGCGCUAAUACCGCAUACCUCCUGAGGGUGAACGUGGGGGACCUUCGGACCUCCCGCUAUCAGAUGAGCCUAGGUCGGCUUGGCUAGUUGGUGGGGUAAAGGUCUUCCAAGGCGACGAUCCGUGACUGGUCUGAAAGGAUGAUCAGUCACACGGGAACUGAGACACGGUCCAGAGUACUAAGGGAGGCAGCAGUGGGGAAUAGGGGACAAUGGGCGAAAGCCUGAUCCAGCCAGGCCGCGUGUGUGAAGAAGGUGCUCGGAUUGGAAAGAACUUUAAGUGGGGAGGAAGCGCAGUAAGUUAAUACCUUGCUGUUUUGACGUUACCAACAGAAGAAGCACCGGCUAACUUCGUG